GCCUGGGUGGCUCAGUCGGUUAAGCGUCAGACUUCAGCUAAUUAUCUCAUAGUUCAUGGGUUCAAGCCCCGCUUCAGGCU
rnacentral:tRNA from 1 species